GGAAGCCGGUGAAAUCCCGGCGCGGUCGCGCCACUGUAAUCGACGGGCGGAUACCGCCCCCAGAGAGCCAGAC
rnacentral:sRNA from 17 species